rnacentral:rRNA from 1 species
GAUGAACGCUGGCGGCGUGCCUAAUACAUGCAAGUCGAGCGAACAGACGAGGAGCUUGCUCCUCUGACGUUAGCGGCGGACGGGUGAGUAACACGUGGAUAACCUACCUAUAAGACUGGGAUAACUUCGGGAAACCGGAGCUAAUACCGGAUAAUAUAUUGAACCGCAUGGUUCAAUAGUGAAAGACGGUUUUGCUGUCACUUAUAGAUGGAUCCGCGCCGCAUUAGCUAGUUGGUAAGGUAACGGCUUACCAAGGCAACGAUGCGUAGCCGACCUGAGAGGGUGAUCGGCCACACUGGAACUGGGACACGGUCCAGACUCCUACGGGAGGCAGCAGUAGGGAAUCUUCCGCAAUGGGCGAAAGCCUGACGGAGCAACGCCGCGUGAGUGAUGAAGGUCUUCGGAUCGUAAAACUCUGUUAUUAGGGAAGAACAAAUGUGUAAGUAACUAUGCACGUCUUGACGGUACCUAAUCAGAAAGCCACGGCUAACUACGUA